ACCUCUCACUCCGUCCCCUCUAAUGCCAUCCAAACCCGUGCCACCUCGCACUAUACUCGCGCACUGAGUUUCUUCCACAGGCUGGCCCAUCCGUUAAGGCCAAGGUGCUUACCGUAGGGUGUCAGAAGGGGAGAGGGAGAUCUAUGGUUUGCGGGUCUUAAAUCUGCCGAAAGAGGUUAAGUACAGCCGGCUACUGAGGACCUCCCUCCAAAAUACGACGACUUGGUGAACAAACUGCCAUUUUGUGAGGAAGCAAUUUUCACGAUACAAAAGAAUCCCUCCGUCGACGCGGGCCGCAAGAACCUCGCUUUCGACCCUCAAGAGGAGACAAAAGCCCUUCCUGACGGCGACAUCGAAGCGGCAUCGCGUGGAAACCCAGCCGAUGUAGGGGGAUUGGCUAAUCCUCAUCCGCAUCAUUGAUAAUCCGACGUUAGAUUUUCCCAAUCCGAUGCAAGGGGAUUAGCUAAUCCUCCUCCUGGAUUUGGUGUGGAUAAUGAGCUAAUCAGCAUAUCACCAUCAGCGCGAUCUCACUCGACCCGAUGAAACUCCAAUCCGGGAAUUACUCGUUAAGCACACACAUUCUUGAAAUGUUUAUUAUAAUUGUUGUUGUUGUUGUCAUUAUUAUACCACCCAGAAAUUCUCUUUUUUAUUAAUCUAUUCAUAAAUUCUCGAUCAUUUCACACGCGGUACAGUGCACGAACUCAUUCCCGUUCCUAUCAUUAAAUUAUAUUGUCACUGUACAGAGAGGUUUCAUAAUUACUGUGCGUAGGUUAGGGGAAGCAAUUCAGCGAUAUA